rnacentral:lncRNA from 1 species
AACAAACAUAAGCAUAAUCAUGGGAGAAAUUCUGGACAGAUUCAUGAUUCAAGCAUAACAGCAGGGCAUUAGCAGCAUCAAUUUCAUGUUUAUGGUUCAUCAACAUCAAACAAGUUUCAAGCACAAACACACAAUGUCAUGGCCUUAAUGCUCAUGUAGCAACAUAAUACAAACAAACUGAACAUGAGUCAUAUGGAUUUCUGGGCAGAGUAGGUUUAAAC